CCUGUGUGGGCAUCAGUCCCUGGCAGCAGCAGCCCCAGAAUAUUACCUUUUUGCUUUUAUGCUCGUGUUUCUACUUUAUCUAUCACCAUCCUUAUGGUUGUUUUGGAGUGUGUGACCUUCCAGCGAUCUGUCCUACCAAGGACAACAGCGGCCCUAAGACUUUUGCCGGGAUGGCCAAGAAACUGGGAGGCUGAAGAGAGCUCGAAGUAUGGAGCAUCCCUGCCCUCAGCUGGUAAAUUUCUUGACGUGAAUGAACAGAACUCCUACGUACUGUUUAGGAGAACACUGGCUUCUUGUUGACCUUGGUGAUGCUGGGAGUUACUGCUGCAAUAAAGUUUGCCAAUGUGAUCAAGUUUGCCAAAGGAUCACGUGAUGUUAACUUUCCUCCCUCUAAUUACUAGGGAAAUUGAACAGCUUUUCAGAUCUUCAUUGGUCAUUUAUAUUUUUUAAUGGUAUUUUCAAUUGACAAUAAUUGUUUAUAUUUAUGGGGUACAAUGUGAUGUUUUGAUACAUGUGUAAAUUGCAGAAUGAGUAAAUCAAGCUAAUUAACAUAUCCAUAACUUCAUCUGUGUAUUUUUGUGGGCAUAGUGAGAACACUGAAAAUUUACUCUUAGCAAUUUUGAAAUAUAUAAUACAUUCCGAACUAUGGUCACCCACCAUGCUGUGCCACAGAUCUCAGAAACUUAUUCUCCUGUCUAACCCAAACAUUGUACUCUGUGACCUACAUUGCCCCUUUGCCUCUCCUCCUUAGGUUUAAAUUUGGCCUCUACCAGUUGCUAGUUCUGUCAUUUGGGGUGAGUUGCUUUAAACCCCAGGCCUCAGUUUCCCAAGAAAUCAGCUGUGCCAUCAAAGACAGUGCCUGCAAUCUGCGCAGCUCCUCCCAGGACAGAGAUAUGUGCUGAGCAAUUGAUUGUUAAAUGUGGACCAGAAAGCAGAUCUGCUGGAGCCAACAGCAAGCAGGGUGGUUUCUGAGAAAGGCCUCACCUCGCUUUCGAAGGUUGAGGUUGGAGAGGGUGGGGUGUAUCAGGAUUGAAUCUACUCAUGGGAAAAUAGCCUCUCUGAAUGUGCCCACUGGAUUCCUGCCCUGACCCUGUCCUGGGGCACUGUGGCUUCACUGGGAACAGAAUGCUCUCUGUACAUGGAGAAUGGUAGAGGCUGGCACUGUCUAAUCUGAGCUCCUGGAUCACCCUGUUCUCGCCCAGAGAGAAGCUGGCUCCAUCUGGGGAUGAGUGAGGGCAGACGUGUCUGGUGGGACAGAGCCUGGGCCACAGCCUUGCACCUGCAGAACCCAUUGUACAAACACACAGUGCAUGGAAGAGGAACCUGCAGCCCAGCACAAAGCUGCUCAAACAGAAACCAAACCAAAAGCUAACCUCAGCCAAUUCAGAGGCAGGUCCACAUCUGAACCAAGAGCUCUCCCAGCAAAUUGGCCUGGAAAGCCCUUCUCACAUCAAGGCAGGAAGAUAAUAAUGACCCUCAUCUUUCAAAAGAGGAAGCUGAGACACUGAGAGGGUAGGUCCCCUGAAGGUCAUACAGCUCUUAAAUGCUGGGGCCAGGAUUCCAACGCAGGCAGGGAGGCCCGGAUCUGAGCUCACAGUGACCACACCCCAGCCUCUGUGAACUGAAUUUACGCAAUGUCUGGGAAGAAAAGGCAGGGUCCACUCCGCUCAGAGCCAUGCAGGGCAGUGUGCUCCCGUCUCCCCGGCAUUUGAAUCACUCUUGUGGUGUGUGUCCAGCACAGAUGCACGGGACCCCUCAGGCCCAUAUCCUCAAACAGGUAGUGGUGGGGCACCAGUGCACGAACACUAGGGCUCAGCAGUCAGCCUGGGCGGGUCACAGUUCCGAUACCCUCCAGGCUGUCUGGGAGGCGGCCUGGCUGUGGGACCAGUUCUCAUGUGAAGCAAUGAAGCCACUCUGAGCUUGGCCCCCUGCCCUGGCAUGGGCACUGGGCUGCCUGUGUGAAACUCUUGUUUCUCCAGGUGCAAGACAAACCUGGCACUCUUUCUGGCUUCUCCAUUCACUUGCCGGGGGCAGGUGGCCAAGCCUGGUUUCAUCUCCUUGGGGGGGAAUGGAAUACUCUCCACAUUCAACCCAAAAACAGCCCCAGCAAAGGGCUGACAUGGGAGGGAGAGGGGCAGGGUGGCGCCACGCACCCACGGGCACCCAAUGCUUUGACGCCGAGACCCAAGCAUCUCUCUCAGACAUCCCUUCUCAUACCAGAAACAGAGCCCACGUAUACCAGUCAGACCUGCAGUCAGGCCCAUUCACGAGUCAGGCCCAUUCACCAGUCAGAAACCACACAGCCACUUAUUUGAACAGGGGAAGUUUAAUAUAAAGAUGAACUCUACUCGGAGCAUAGAGUUUAAAAAGAGUUCUAC
rnacentral:lncRNA from 1 species